UUUUAAAGGAUAAUAGCAAUCCAUUGG
rnacentral:tRNA from 1 species